GGGGGUGAAAUAGCUUCGACAUCGGAGGCUGGGUUUGCGUUGCAAGCCGUGGCGCACGACCACGUAAAAACGGGCAACAAAUAGGUGCCAAAAACACCCAAACCGCUUACGCUUACGCCGCCUAAGGCUGUAACUGUAAGUCGCUGACCCCACGUGGUCAGCCGUUCGCACAUGCCGUCGCUGUCCGACAUGACCUGCGAAUGUCAUAUAAUGACAUGCCGUGCUACGCUGUGGACACCGAUAAUCAGCGCCAAGAGACCAUCGGCUGGUGUGUGGGCGUACUGAGUCACCGAGGCUAACCACACACGAGACAUCAACAGGUGACUACGCUUGUAGACGCGCAGGUUCGAGUCUGGUGGACGCGGGUGGCAGAACCCGCCACCUCCAUCG
rnacentral:tmRNA from 1 species